AGAGUUUGAUCAUGGCUCAGGACGAACGCUGGCGGCGUGCCUAAUACAUGCAAGUCGAGCGAAUCUUUGGGAGCUUGCUCCCGAAGGUUAGCGGCGGACGGGUGAGUAACACGUGGGCAACCUGCCUGUAAGACUGGGAUAACUUCGGGAAACCGGAGAUAAUACCAGAUAAUCCUUUUCCUCUCAUGAGGGAGAGCUGA
rnacentral:rRNA from 1 species